UAGAAUUUUUUCAAUAAAGUGCACUCACGAUAAAUUUGAAUGAUUUAAUAAACAUUUAGUACGUCGCAAUAAGUGCACAAAAAUGCCACUAACGCUUUUUGUCAUACUUUUGGUCACAGUGGUUGGUGACAUCACAACUUACCCAAUCUUCCGAUGUUUCGACAAGGAAUGCCCUUUUGGAACCAUUUCUUGCAAACAAGUCAUAGAAACUAGGAAAAAUGAACUAAUAACGACCACGUCGUGUUUUAACGAAAAUAAAGAGCCCGUGAAGGUUUACAGGGGCAGUUCUAAUAACCCUUUUCCACGAUCUAUGAUCUACAAAAGGGUAUCGUUCGUCUACCCGCUUGGUGCGUCUUCAAACCCACAAAAACCUCCGAAUUGAACGUCUUCAUUAUCCAGCGCAUAAUUAUCCAACAUUAAAACCGAAAUAAAUAAAUCCAUGUCCGCAAA